rnacentral:rRNA from 1 species
AAUCAACGCUGGCGGCGUGCCUCAGACAUGCAAGUCGAACGCGAAAGGCCCCUUCGGGGGCCGAGUAGAGUGGCGUCCGGGUGAGUAACACGUGGGGUAAUCUACCUUCGGGUGGGGAAUAACGACCGGAAACGGUCGCUAAUACCGCAUAAUGCCGCGGCACCUAAUGGUGACAGUUGUUAAAGCGGGGGAUCGCAAGACCUCGCGCCUGAAGAGGAGCCCGCGGCGGAUUAGCUAGUUGGCAGGGUAACGGCCUACCAAGGCGACGAUCCGUAGCCGGCCUGAGAGGGCGGUCGGGCCACACUGGCACUGACACACGGGCCAGACUCCUACGGGAGGCAGCAGUCGGGAAUUUUGGGCAAUGGGCGAAAGCCUGACCCAGCAACGCCGCGUGAAGGAUGAAGCUUUUCGGAGUGUAAACUU